UUAUUGGGUAUCAAAACCUAAUAGCGAAAUUAACAUAACUUUUUAUGGGAUUAGUUUUUAGAUUAUUUAUAGUCUAUUAAUUCAAUCCCGGGGCGUUCUAUAUAGUUAUGUAUAAUAAUAUUUAUAUUAUUUAUACCUCUAACUAGAGCGUACCUUGAGCAUAUAUGCUGUGACCCGAAAGAUGGUGAACUAUACUUGAUCAGGUUGAAGUCAGGGGAAACCCUGAUGGAAGACCGAAACAGUUCUGACGUGCAAAUCGAUUGUCAGAAUUGAGUAUAGGGGCGAAAGACCAAUCGAACCAUCUAGUAGCUGGUUCCCUCCGAAGUUUCCCUCAGGAUAGCUGGUGCAUUUAAAUAUUAUGUAAAAUAAUCUUAUCUGGUAAAGCGAAUGAUUAGAGGCCUUAGGGUCGAAACGACCUUAACCUAUUCUCAAACUUUAAAUGGGUAAGAACCUCACCUUUCUUGGUAUGAAGGUUGUGGUUGUGAUAUAAUGUGCCCAGUGGGCCACUUUUGGUAAGCAGAACUGGCGCUGUGGGAUGAACCAAACGUAAUGUUACGGUGCCCAAAUUAACAACUCAUGCAGAUACCAUGAAAGGCGUUGGUUGCUUAAAACAGC
rnacentral:rRNA from 1 species